AAUAGAUACCCGGGUAGUCCACGCUGUAAACGGUGGGAACUAGGUGUGGGCAGCAUUCCACGUUGUCUGUGCCGCAGCUAACGCAUUAAGUUCCCCGCCUGGGGAGUACGGCCGCAAGGCUAAAACUCAAGGGGAAUUGACGGGGGGCCCGCACAAGCGGCGGAGCAUGUGGCUUAAUUCGACGCAACGCGAAGAACCUUACCAAGGCUUGACAUGCAUCGGAAGCAUCCAGAGAUGGGUGUGCUCUUUGAGUCGGUGUACAGGUGGUGCAUGGCUGUCGUCAGCUCGUGUCGUGAGAUGUUGGGUUAAGUCCCGCAACGAACGCAACCCUUGUCCUGUGUUGCCAGCGGAGCCUUCGGGGCUGCCGGGGACUCACGGGAGACUGCCGGGGUCAACUCGGAGGAAGGUGGGGACGACGUCAAGUCAUCAUGCCCCUUAUGUCCUGGGCUGCACACGUGCUACAAUGGCCGGUACAAGUGAGCUGCGAUACCGGUGAGGUGGAGCGAAUCUCAAAAAGCCGGUCUCGUA
rnacentral:rRNA from 1 species